rnacentral:lncRNA from 1 species
CGUCACGCCCCUCUACAUCGGGUGGGGAAUCGACGGCUCGGUCUGGAUUUCGUCGGAGAUGAAGGCCCUGCACGACGAGUGCGAGCACUUCGAGAUCUUUCCCCCGGGCCACCUCUACUCGAGCAAGGAGGGAGGGUUCACGAGAUGGUACAACCCUCCGUGGUACGACGAGGAGGCCGUCAUCCCGUCGGUUCGCUACGACCCGCUGGCGCUCAGGAAGGCCUUCGAGAAGGCCGUGAUCAAGAGGCUCAUGACCGAUGUCCCCUUCGGCGUUCUGCUCUCCGGCGGCCUGGACUCGUCGCUGGUGGCGGCCGUCACCGUCCGUCACCUGGCGGGGACCAAGGCCGCCAAGCGCUGGGGCACCAAGCUCCACUCCUUCUGCGUGGGCCUGGAGGGAUCCCCUGACCUCAAGGCCGCCAAGGAGGUGGCGGAUCACCUGGGCACCCUGCACCAUGAGUUCCACUUCACCGUGCAGGACGGCAUCGACGCCAUCGAGGACGUCAUAUACCACACCGAGACGUACGACGUCACCACCAUCAGGGCGAGCACGCCCAUGUUCCUCAUGUCCCGCAAGAUCAAGUCGCUCGGGGUCAAGAUGGUCAUCUCCGGCGAGGGCUCCGACG